rnacentral:rRNA from 1 species
UACGUAGGGUGCGAGCGUUAAUCGGAAUUACCGUGGGCGAUAAGCGUGCGCAGGCGGUUUUGUAAGACAGGUGUGAAAUCCCCGGGCUUAACCUGGGAACUGCAUUUGUGACUGCAUCGCUGGAGUGCGGCAGAGGGGGAUGGAAUUCCGCGUGUAGCAGUGAAAUGCGUAGAUAUGCGGAGGAACACCGAUGGCGAAGGCAGGUCUCUGGGCAGUAACUGACGCUGAGGAGCGAAAGCGUGGGGA